CCCCCCUCCGCCCUGCCCCCCGCGGGCCACCGGGUCGGGGUCGCCACCGGGGCUCGGUCAGUCGGUACCUUCAUGAAGGUCUCUACCGCGCCUUUGGCCGUGUCCAGCCAUCAUCAAAGAAGCUUUCUCCAGCAGAAGAUGGGAGCUGUCACAGAGACCCACAACUGGAUGAUGUGCAGAGAGUGAGACACUUUGGAACACUCAGUGCUAAAUGGGGUGUCCUCAUCAAGUCCCUCACUUUAAGGCUCAGCGCUCUGUGCAGAAGAGGAAGUGGAAAAAUUGUAAGGACCAGAAGGGAUGGAUGAUACCAAGGAAACAGUGCCU